rnacentral:lncRNA from 1 species
AAACAUGUUCCUUACUUUGCUAAGAGGUUAACCAAAUGGACAAAUGGACAACCAGGGAAUUUCCUGUGAGCUCCAUUCUGAGUGGACAAUGCAACAUCCUGAAAUCUGUUACUUUGUGAAAAUCAUUUGCUUACACUUACAGUAGACCAUGGCCAGAUUUGAAGAGAAAAUGGAUCUCUUUUUUUUGGUAAGAAACCUUUGUAUUCUAAAUUUAAU